GUUUCACACUGCAGGCCAGCACCCACUGUACCAGUUUAGUAAAACAGAGGUCUAGGCCAGUGACUCAAGCUCCUAAUCAGGCUCUAGCAACAGUAUGCGGUAGAACUUCCCAAUACUGUGGCAAGAAUCAUGGGGACCAAUCCUGUUAUCAUCUCAACAAUAGUUGCUGCAUAUGUGGGAGUGUCUAACACCACGCGAGAGAGUGCCCGCGAAAUCAGAAUCAGGUUAAACCUCUCAUACAGGGCAGAACUUACAACCUCACCCACUAGGAUGCUGAAGCUAAUUCGAACGUGAUACAAAGUAUGUACACUAUCUGUAAUCAC
rnacentral:lncRNA from 1 species